rnacentral:rRNA from 1 species
CCUACGGGAGGCAGCAGUGGGGAAUAUUGCACAAUGGGGGAAACCCUGAUGCAGCGACGUCGCGUGAGGGAAGAAGGACUUCGGUGUGGUAAGCUCCAUUAGUAGGGAAGAAAAGGACGGUACGUGAGGAAGAACCCCGGGCUAAAGACGUGCCAGCAGCCGCGGUAAUACGGAGGGGGCAAGCGUUAUCCGGAUUUACUGGGUGUAAAGGGAGCGUAGAUGGGAGUGCAAGUCUGGAGGGAAAGGCGCGGGCUCAACCCCCGGACUGCUCUGGAAACUGUACGGCUGGAGUGCAGGAGAGGUAAGUGGAAUUCGUAGUGUAGCGGUGAAAUGCGUAGAUAUUACGAAGAACACCGGUGGCGAAGGCAGCUUACUGGAGUGUAACUGACGUUGAGGCUCGAAAGCGUGGGUAGCGAACAGGAUUAGAUACCCGGGUAGUC